CAGGGAUGCCUCAGUACGGCGAGUGAAGCGGCAAGAGCUCAAAUUUGAAAUCUGGCCCCUCCGGGGUCCGAGUUGUAAUUUGUAGAGGAUGCUUCGGGUGCGGCCCCCGUCUAAGUGCUCUGGAACGGGCCAUCGGAGAGGGUGAGAAUCCCGUCUGGGACGGGGUGUCCGCGUCCAUGUGAAGCUCCUUCGACGAGUCGAGUUGUUUGGGAAUGCAGCUCUAAAUGGGUGGUAAAUUUCAUCUAAAGCUAAAUACUGGCCGGAGACCGAUAGCGCACAAGUAGAGUGAUCGAAAGAUGAAAAGCACUUUGAAAAGAGAGUUAAACAGCACGUGAAAUUGUUGAAAGGGAAGCGCUUGCGACCAGACUCGCUUCCGGGGUUCAGCCGGCUUUCGGGCCGGUGUACUUCCCCGGGGGCGGGCCAGCGUCGGUUUGGGCGGCCGGUCAAAGGCCCCUGGAAUGUAACGCCCCUCGGGGCGCCUUAUAGCCAGGGGUGUCAUGCGGCCAGCCUGGACCGAGGAACGCGCUUCGGCACGGACGCUGGCAUAAUGGUCGUAAACGACCCGUCUUGAAACACGGACCAAGGAGUCUAACAUCUACGCGAGUGUUCGGGUGUCAAACCCGUGCGCGCAGUGAAAGCGAACGGAGGUGGGAGCCCCCUCGAGGGGCGCACCAUCGACCGAUCCUGAUGUCUUCGGAUGGAUUUGAGUAAGAGCGUAGCUGUGGGGACCCGAAAGAUGGUGAACUAUGCCUGAAUAGGGCGAAGCCAGAGGAAACUCUGGUGGAGGCUCGCAGCGGUUCUGACGUGCAAAUCGAUCGUCAAAUUUGGGUAUAGGGGCGAAAGACUAAU
rnacentral:rRNA from 1 species